ensembl:lncRNA
AAGCAGGUUAAUAUGAGGUCUUGGAUUUUGAAAUUGUAAUGAGGUAAUCUCUUAGCAACUAAGCUUAAAGCUAAUGUCAGGCUUCACUUGAAAUUGCCUGUUAAGAUAGCUUUGGUCAAUCAUUGCUAGGUUUCAAAAAAAGAGCGUGUGGGCCGUUCUUGCUCCAUUGUGAUAAAUGUGACGACUCAAGGAUUUAGCGGUGGACAAUGGGAUGUAGAAUUCGAUUGAUCUGGCACGGUGCCCGCCGCUUUCUAGAAUGAGGAGAAAGUUGACAGUUGGAUGAAGAAAAGCUUUAUGGAGCAAGUGUCAUUAAAGCUGACCUUCAGGAACAGGUCCGAUGUUGUUGCAGGCAGUCCUGGGUGAGUUAUUACAGAAAGUGCAGAGAUCACUGGAUCAGAGGUAAAAAGCACACGAGAGCUCGCCUGAGGAAGCAAGCAAAUGAACUGCCCCAAAGCCAGGAGUCUUCCAGCAUAUUCUGAGCUUGAUCCCAAUGUGUGGCUAGAGCCUCAUAAACCACAACAGGCCUGUGUGGGAUGAGGGUGAGGUUCCUCUCAGUCUCCUGGCCUUCCUCUUGCUCAGCAUUCUGAGCCUGAGCUUCCUGGGGUUUCCUGGCUCAGGCUGAAGAAUCGGCACAUACCAACUGCUUCCCAGCUGCCUGAGCCCCCUGAGCCAAUUGCACUGAAUUCUUGACAGUGAGGUUCCUCAAGCACAAUCCUGUUGGAAGUAAGGGGCACAACAAGUGCUCCCCUCUUCCACCCUCCCCUCUGGGAGGAUGUUUCCAUAGAUGGUGCUCAUCUCCUAGAUGUGGCACUCGUGGGUGGGGUAGUGUUAUCUGUCCAGAUUGUGCCUGGUUAGACUGAGGUCCUAUCUAGUCAUUUGCCCCAAGCAGGGGCCAAGAUUUAGGUCAAGCAUCUUCUCAUUACACAGGACACACUCACCUACUGGCCCAGUCCUGCUGCUUUUGCUGUCGGAGAUGCAGACUAGGGCUAAUUGUCUCCAUUUAAAGUAGAUUGAAAAAAAAAAAUCCCUUUUUCUUUAGUCAGGAUAGUGUAGGCUGCGCUUCAACAACAAAACCCUAGAAAGCUCCAUAGCUUACAAACCGGAGGUUUAUUUCUUCCUUUGCUGUAUGUCCAUUGUGGGUUGGCUGUGGCUCUGUCUCAUGUCGUCUUUACUCUGGGCCCCAGGCUGGUGCCACAGGCCCUAGCUGGGGAUGAGGGGCGGGGAGGAAGGGGUGGGGGAGCAUCAUGAACCAUCCCUUGGCCCUUAAAAUUUCUGCUUGGAAGUGACACAAGGCUCUUCUACUCCAAUUCCAUUGGCCAAAGUCAAUCAUAUGGCUAAGUCUGCUGGCAGUGGGAGAGGGAAGGGACAAUCCUUCGCCAGGGAGCAGCAUGGACUAUUUGUGAAAAAUAGGACACACGUGGUCACCAAGAGAGGCAUCCCUCAAUUUCAUUGUAAAAUCACCUGCCUUAACUUACACAUAUUAACAGAGUCUUUAUUUGCUGUCUUAAGAAACAGAGGUAAAGUCAGGUCAGGUGAGGGGUUGAGCAAUAACAGAUUCAAAGUGCAGCAGGUGAUUGAGGUUAGAGGAAUGGAAUGGGCAGCAAGAUCAGGGAAGAAGGAGGAGCCUGAGUGUGGGGGCCCUUGGGCACUAGGGGGUCUGGAAUUCUUCUUUAGGCAGUGAGGUUUCUCGGAAGAUUUUAGAGUGUUGGGAGGCAUGCUCUUCCUGGGGAGAUCCUCAAAGGCAUUAUAAAGGAGGAAUUGAAGGCUGGGUACCCCUUGGAAACCUUGACCAGGAAAGUAACGAUGAAGAUCUGAUUUUAGAGCUCCUUUGGGAAAAAGGAGAUAGAGGUGGUUAAAGUCCAAAAUUUGACGUCAGUUUCAGACAGAUUUAAGUGCAAGAUCUGCCUUUGAAAUAGCAUAGCUAGGUGAUUCGCGGAAAGUUCCUCUGCCUCUCUAAACCUAUUUCCUUCCAUGGUUUGUCAUGGGGACCAAAUAGGGGAACAUAUGUAAAGUCUCAGCAAAAAGCGUUAUACCUAGAAAGACUGUCCACGCGGAAAAGCAGAGACACCGGAGAUCCAGAAUCAUAGGCUUUGGUGACUGCCUGUGAAGAGCGCGGAUGAGGGAGGAUUUGAAGAGAGUGCCGCAGGGGCUAGGGUGGGCAUGGUAACGCCAUUCAUCUAUACAGGAGCUGGUCAUGUUUGGAGGAGGACAGACACUGAGUCUGAGAUCCCAGGGAGACGUCCAUGGAGAAGGUUCCCAGCUGGGGCUUACAAAUGCGAGUUCCCAGGGGCUGCUGCUGCUGCUGUUGUCAGGAGACCACACUUCCAGAAGCACUCUCUUUGGCGGUUAGAGAACUUGGAAUGGAAGCACCUCCUCUCUGCACUGGGGCACGACAGCCCCCACGCGAAAGAGGACUUCCUAACCUGUUUUCCUUGCUCACAUGCUUCCCGCAUCGCACAGUGUCCUGGAGAGAGUCAGAACGAAGCAAUGGGGGUCACAGUCAAGAAGGCUGCAGGCAGGAGCCCAGUCUCCUGCUGACAGACAGUGUGGAGAAGACAAAGGGGCACAGGGCUGCUCCUCCAGAAAUGGCAUCCAGGUUCCCAGGCUUGGGGAAAAACGAACAUGAUUCUAUGGCUCGGGGACAGACAGAAAGGCCAAUGGAAUGGAAUCAAGUGCCUAGAUGUUGACCCAAUAUACCUGGAAACUUGAGAUCGUAUAGAAGUAGCAUUGAUGUGAGUGUGGAAAGGAUGGCCUAUUCAAUAAAUGGUACCAGGACAUUUAUCUAGCUGAAAAAAAAAGAUCCUACAAAGUUCUUGUUUAUGCUUUCUACAAGCAAGAACAUUCUCCUAUAUAAUCUCAACACAACCACCAAAAUCAGGAAAUUAAUGCUGACACAUUACUAUCAUCUAAUUCUCAGACCUCCAUUCAAGUUUCAAAAUUGUCCCAAUAAUGACCUUUACGGAAAAGAUAUACGGUUCUAAAUCACAUGUUGCCUCAGUUAUGUCUUUUUAGUCUGUAUCAAUCUGGAACAAUUCCUCAGUCUUUUCUUGACUUUCCUAAUCUUGACCCUUUUGAAAAUUACAGGCAAGUUAUUUUGCAGAAUUAUCCCUCAAUCUGGGUUUCCUUAAUGUCUCCUUGUGAUUAGAUCCAGGUUACUUUUCUUUUUUUGGCAGGAAUAUUGCAGAAGUGAUGCUGUAUUCUUCCUGAUACGUAAGAUGUGAGGCAAAAAAAAGUCGUACUAAAUGAUUAUUCCAUUUACAUAAUAUUAAAAAAUACAAACUAAAUAAUGUAUUUUUAAGAUACACACAUACUAGUAAUACUAUAAAGAAAAGCAAGGAAAUGAUAAACACAAAUCGAGGAUAAUGAUAAAAUCUAGGGAAGAGGGAGGAAAAUGUGAUUGGGAAAGCGUGUGGGAGCUUCAAGUGUUAUUUUAUUUUUCAUAUUUUAUACAUAAGUUGUAAAUCUUUUGUUUGCAUGACAUAUUUCCUAGUAUUUUAGAAAAUAAAACUCAUUUCAGAUGCUCAUUUUUCUGAUUUUGCAGUGGGCUAAUGGAAGGUUUUCUGGUCUUUGAGCUAGCGUCUGGAAACCAUGCCCUAGCUCACAAUGAUGAUGCAGAAUGACAGUGUUUGUGUAUACCUGUUGCCCCAGCCUAAUUAUUAAUAGUGCUCUCAGAAGUGUUCCAGAUUGGAGGAUAAAUUAUGCCAAGUUCUACCUAUGUGCAUAUGGCACCUUCAUUCUCAAGAGUUCAGAAGAGCGCUUAAUGAACUGCGUCCUCCUCUCAGACCUCAUCCAUCUUGCUAGAUGACAGGGAAGCAUCCCUGACAGAACCAGCCACUGGACCCGGGCCUGCAGUUGGCCAGUCUCGAAGCUGGGGCUGGAACCGGGGUCUCCUCACUUCCUCCAAGUGUCUGUUCUUGUGCAGCCUCUGCCUUGUCUGAGUCUUAGAGUAGGCCUGGAAAAUGCUGACCCCGCAAACAGGAGCGAUUGCAUUAACACCAUUGAUCCUCGUGUCUAGAACAAGAUUUAGG